rnacentral:tRNA from 1 species
GAGCCAUUAGCUCAGCUGGUAGAGCAUCUGACUUUUAAUCAGAGGGUCAGAGUUUCGAAUCCUCUAUGGCUCA